UACGUAGGGUGCAAGCGUUGUCCGGAAUUAUUGGGCGUAAAGCGCUCGCAGGUGGUUUGUCGCGUCGUGCGUGAAAGACCCCGGCUCAACUGGGGAGGGUCGUGCGAUACGGGCGAACUGGAGGCCAGUAGGGGGAUGCGGAAUUCCGGGUGUAGUGGUGGAAUGCGUAGAGAUCCGGAGGAACACCAGCGGCGAAGGCGGCAUCCUGGACUGGUCCUGACACUCAGGAGCGAAAGCGUGGGGAGCGAUCCGG
rnacentral:rRNA from 1 species